rnacentral:rRNA from 1 species
AUGAACGCUAUCGGGAGGCCUAACACAUGCAAGCCGAGCGGUAGAGAUCUUUCGGGAUCUUGAGAGCGGCGUACGGGUGCGGAACACGUGUGCAACCUGCCUUUAUCUGGGAGAUAGCCUUUCGAAAGGAAGAUUAAUACCCCAUAAUAUAUGAUUCGGCAUCGGAUUCUAUUGAAAGCUCCGGCGGAUAGAGAUGGGCACGCGCAAGAUUAGAUAGUUGGUGAGGUAACGGCUCACCAAGUCAGUGAUCUUUAGGGGGCCUGAGAGGGUGGUCCCCCACACUGGUACUGAGACACGGACCAGACUCCUACGGGAGGCAGCAGUGAGGAAUAUUGGACAAUGGGUGAAAGCCUGAUCCAGCCAUCCCGCGUGAAGGACGACGGCCCUAUGGGUUGUAAACUUCUUUUGUAUAGGGAUAAACCUACCCUCGUGAGGGUAGCUGAAGGUACUAUACGAAUAAGCACCGGCUAACUCCGUGCCAGCAGCCGCCGCAG